UACGAAGGGGGCUAGCGUUGCUCGGAAUGACUGGGCGUAAAGGGCGCGUAGGCGGUUUGGACAGUCAGAUGUGAAAUUCCUGGGCUCAACCUGGGGGCUGCAUUUGAUACGUUCGGACUAGAGUGGGGAAGAGGGUCGUGGAAUUCCCAGUGUAGAGGUGAAAUUCGUAGAUAUUGGGAAGAACACCGGUGGCGAAGGCGGCUCACUGGACCGACACUGACGCUGAGGCGCGAAAGCGUGGGGAGCAAACAGG
rnacentral:rRNA from 1 species